UGGGGUUGAAUCACCAGAAAAACUUUGCACAGAUGUACAAAUAUGGCAAUAUGGAGGAUGCUAUUGGGGUUGAGAUGAACCAAUUGCAGCUAGUAGUAUUCCAAGGGACCCCAGAAGAAAUCAGAAGUGGGCACAGCAAAACCCCGCUCAACAAAAAGCCCGAAGGUUACCGUCUCAUCUGGGUGUGUCUCCAAAGGCCAUGGAUUCCCGUGGGCGCACCUCCAGCCUACAAUGGCCUUGUUUUUCA
rnacentral:lncRNA from 1 species